ACGAACGCUGGCGGCGUGCUUAACACAUGCAAGUCGAACGGAAAGGCCCUGCUUGCAGGGUACUCGAGUGGCGAACGGGUGAGUAACACGUGGGUGAUCUGCCCUGCACUUCGGGAUAAGCCUGGGAAACUGGGUCUAAUACCGGAUAGGAGCCAUUUUUAGUGUGAUGGUUGGAAAGUUUUUUCGGUGUAGGAUGAGCUCGCGGCCUAUCAGCUUGUUGGUGGGGUAAUGGCCUACCAAGGCGGCGACGGGUAGCCGGCCUGAGAGGGUGGACGGCCACAUUGGGACUGAGAUACGGCCCAGACUCCUACGGGAGGCAGCAGUGGGGAAUAUUGCACAAUGGGCGCAAGCCUGAUGCAGCGACGCCGCGUGGGGGAUGACGGCCUUCGGGUUGUAAACGCCUUUCGCUAGGGACGAAGCUUUUUGUGACGGUACCUAGAUAAGAAGCACCGGCUAACUACGUG
rnacentral:rRNA from 1 species